rnacentral:tmRNA from 1 species
GGGGAUGACUGGUUUUGACAGCGGGUAGAAGAGGUAUGUAAGCAUGCCGAGCGUUGUUUGUUGGCUCGUUAAUCUCAAUGAUCGAACUUUUAAUUGGCGAAAAUAAUUACGCUCUUGCUGCGUAAUUCUACUAAGUAGAUUACACUUAAUCCAGGCACCAGGUGCCAGGACAAGACAUCGCCCGGGUGCUACUUUCCUGAAGCGGCCCGAUCCGGCGGUGCAAGUAAAUCGGGAAUAGCGAAAGUUUAGCUUCGGGACUUUUGCGAAACUUAAGAAGCUAAGGUAGCGGUCGGUGGCCUCGAUCCAGCUGCUACUCGAAAAUCAAGUCUUGGCUAAGCAUGUAGAAAGCAUAUUGCUUCCUCGUUUGGACCCGGGUUCGACUCCCGGCAUCUCCACCC